rnacentral:RNase_P_RNA from 1 species
AAGACAGGUUGGAUUGCCGCGCUUUGGAGCCUUUUUUGGCUUCUUUGUGAGGAAAGUCCGGACACUCCCCAUCGCUUGCGAUGGAAGGGUAAUGGGUAACUCCCAUACGCCGCGAGGCGCGAGGUGCGAACAGAAACGGCCGAUUCCGAAAGGGAUCGGAUAUCCGGGUGCAAAUCCGGAUAAGCCUCUCUGGUAACAGGGAGGGUGAAACGGCUAAAUCCUUACCUGAGUGCAAGGUCGAGCUCCCGUUCAUAUUGCAGCUGCGAUUGAGUGGGAGAGAACCGCACGGAUCUGGCUGGCAACAGUCAGGCAAGAGAAAUGGCAAUCGUCCCGCUUCGGCGGGAUACAGAAUCCGGCUUAUAGGCCUGUCUUAGAA